UUAUGGCUCAGGACGAACGCUGGCGGCGUGCCUAAUACAUGCAAGUCGAACGGUCUUUCUAUGGAAGCUUGCUUCCACUGGGAAGAUAGUGGCGAACGGGUGAGUAACACGUGGGUAACCUGCCCAUAAGAGGGGGAUAACAUCCGGAAACGGGUGCUAAUACCGCAUAGUUUUCUUGGUCGCAUGAUUGAGAAAGGAAAGACGGCCUUUGUGCUGUCGCUUAUGGAUGGACCCGCGGCGUAUUAGUUAGUUGGUGAGGUAACGGCUCACCAAGACGAUGAUACGUAGCCGACCUGAGAGGGUGAUCGGCCACAUUGGGACUGAGACACGGCCCAAACUCCUACGGGAGGCAGCAGUAGGGAAUCUUCCGCAAUGGACGAAAGUCUGACGGAGCAACGCCGCGUGAGUGAAGAAGGUUUUUCCGGAUCGUAAAACUCUGUUGUCAGAGAAGAACAAGUUGGAGAGUAACUGCUCCAGCCUUGACGGUAUCUGACCAGAAAGCCACGGCUAACUACGUGCCAGCAGCGGC
rnacentral:rRNA from 1 species